UUUUUUUUUUUAAAGUAGAGAUGGGGUUUCAGCAUGUUGGCCAGGCUGGUCUAGAACUCCUGGCCUCAAGUGAUCCACCCGCCUUGGCCUCCCGAAGUGCUGAGAUUGCAGGUGUGAACCACGGCACCUGGCUAAAAGUAAUUUUAGUGUUGGGAGAGCCACAUCUUUUCAGUGAUGCUCUGAAUUUCUUGCAUUUCCUUUGACAUAUGAAUACUUGGGCUAUUCAAAUUGAAGCUGCAAAUAGGUGGGCUGAGAUUUCCCUUUCCAAAUCUCUGAAGAGGACCAUGCAUCCCCUUGAUGGGGUUCGCACACUGUCUUCCUUGCUGCUCACUCGGCCUCUCUCCCUCACUGCCCAUCGCCUUGUACCUUAGUUCCCACAACCUUAUGUGAACCAGGAGUUUACAAAACCAGUCCCCAGGGAAACGACUCUUCUUUUGGUGUCCCCAACCCUUGAUAUUUACCAGGUGUUUUAUCAAGAAGAAAAUGUUUCUUGCUCUUUAGGGUCAGGUGAAACAAUCAAAGACAAGCGGUGAAGACAGAACACCCGUUUUUGAAGCUUCUUGGGAAGAGGGUGUAAGACGAUGAUGCUAAGUCCUUUUGGGAGUAUCUGGUGCAGGUGCAACUUCUUACGGUUUUCUUUUAAGUUAGUUCCCUUGCUGGGUCUUCUCCUUUCUCUGUUGAUUUUCUCUGUUGGUGUCCCUUUUCCCACUCACGUAGAGAGUGAGCUGCAGCCUCUGGCAGAAUUGCUAAGUCUAGUGUUCUUUAGGAUGACCUCCCGAUGCAGCAAACGCAGGGUCAAGGGGAAAUUCACCCACAGAGGCCAGGUUGCAUGGGUCUAGAGAGGAGAGCGAGCGCUCCAAACUUCUCUCCCUGACGUCUUCCUGAAGGCCUGCCGGAUUCCUCCUUCCGCAUCUUCACUUCACGUGUGACUUGGUGCCAAACUCAGGGGGCGCCCGUGUGGGAAAGAAGGCUGCUUCCUGGUGGCCCACGCCGCCCGGGUCCCCUGGCCGUCACGGCAAACGGAAGAAGGAAAAGGCGCUUCAAGGCAGCUGAGUCGAUGCCAGGAGGAUUUUCCAAGCAGGGUUCUUAUCCAUGAGGAUGUGAGUUGAGGAUUUUGUCAAAAACAGAAACCUCAGAAGGUUGAAGUGAUUUGUUCCCAGCGGAAGAGAAGGAAAGUUUCUCCAGAGCCAGCGCUAAUGUUGAGGCAAAGAUUUAAACAAACAGAAGCACGAAAAAGCACUUAGGAACUCCUGCAGAACCUUGGAGAGAUGACGCGACUUGCCUACAUUUCCAGGUCAUGUCCCAUCAUUGGGAACCCUGAGAGGCCCUUGGUUGUGGCCAAUGGCCAUGAAAAGUGACAACAAAUUGGUUUCUGGGAGUCAAAGGACAUUAGGAUUAUUGGGUAAUGGGGGUCCCUGGUGGAAUGUGGGUUCAGGGAUGGUGGUCUCGAUCCACCAGGCUUCCUCACCAAAGUUCCAGGUGGAAUGUUCCAAGCCGGGGAACGUAGCCAGAUGAGCACCGUGGAGGAGCAGGC
rnacentral:lncRNA from 1 species